CCUACGGGAGGCAGCAGUGAGGAAUAUUGGUCAAUGGACGAGAGUCUGAACCAGCCAAGUAGCGUGAAGGAUGACUGCCCUGUGGGUUGUAAACUUCUUUUAUAUGGGAAUAAAAUGUUCCACGUGUGGGAUUUUGUAUGUACCAUAUGAAUAAGGAUCGGCUAACUCCGUGCCAGCAGCUGCGGUAAUACGGAGGAUCCGAGCGUUAUCCGGAUUUAUUGGGUUUAAAGGGAGCGUAGGUGGAUUGUUAAGUCAGUUGUGAAAGUUUGCGGCUCAACCGUAAAAUUGCAGUUGAAACUGGCAGUCUUGAGUACAGUAGAGGUGGGCGGAAUUCGUGGUGUAGCGGUGAAAUGCUUAGAUAUCACGAAGAACUCCGAUUGCGAAGGCAGUUCACUGGACUGCAACUGACACUGAGGCUCGAAAGUGUGGGUAUCAAACAGGAUUAGAUACCCCGGUAGUC
rnacentral:rRNA from 1 species